rnacentral:rRNA from 1 species
CUACGGGCGGCUGCAGUGAGGAAUAUUGCACAAUGGGGGGAACCCUGAUGCAGCAACGCCGCGUGGAGGAUGACACAUUUCGGUGUGUAAACUCCUUUUAUAUGUCAAGAAAAUGACGGUAGCAUAUGAAUAAGCACCGGCUAACUCCGUGCCAGCAGCCGCGGUAAUACGGAGGGUGCAAGCGUUACUCGGAAUCACUGGGCGUAAAGGACGCGUAGGCGGGUUGGAAAGUCAGGUGUGAAAUCCUACAGCUUAACUGUAGAACUGCACCUGAAACUUCUAAUCUAGAGUAUGGGAGGGGGAGAUGGAAUUAGUGGUGUAGGGGUAAAAUCCGUAGAUAUCACUAGGAAUACCUAAAGCGAAGGCGAUCUCCUGGAACAUUACUGACGCUAAGGCGUGAAAGCGUGGGGAGCAAACAGGAUUAGAUACCCUCGUAGUC